UUUUAGUAGAGAUGGAGUUUUGCCAUGUUGUUCAGGCUGAUCUUGAACUCCUGACCUCAAGUGAUCCUCCCACCUCAGCCUCACAAAGUGCUAGGAUUACAGUAGAAAAAACCGGAAGUGAUGAACCAGCCUUCAUGUAUUAUAUGAAUGAUGGUGUUUAUGGUUCUUUUGCAAGUAAACUGUCUGAGGACUUAAAUACCAUUCCAGAGGUUCACAAGAAAUACAAGGAAGAUGAGCCUCUGUUUACAAGCAGCCUUUGGGGUCCAUCCUGUGAUGAGCUUGAUCAAAUUGUGGAAAGCUGUCUUCUUCCUGAGCUGAAUGUGGGAGAUUGGCUUAUCUUUGAUAACAUGGGAGCAGAUUCUUUCCAUGAACCAUCUGCUUUUAAUGAUUUUCAGAGGCCAGCCAUUUAUUACAUGAUGUCAUUCAGUGAUUGGUAUGAGAUGCAAGAUGCUGGAAUUACUUCAGACUCAAUGAUGAAGAACUUCUUCUUUGUGCCUUCUUGCAUUCAGCUGAGCCAAGAAGACAGCUUUUCCGCUGAAGCUUAAACAGGCAUUAACGCUUCUUU
rnacentral:sRNA from 1 species